AGAGAGGAGGGGGAACAGACAGGCAGAAACAGCGCAAACUCCAGGAGGUGAAUGUGCUCGGUUCCAUUUUCUGCUCAGUCUUCGUGUCGCCAUGAAAGGACGAUUCAAAUCUCUUUUCAACAAAUGUGGAGCUGAAUUCUCUGUUAAAUUGUUUUCCACAUAUUUUCGACUGUGUCUUGUAGAGAACGAGGGCUGCUGCGCACUUGGCGCUAAUGUCUCAUCACCAUAAUGCGCUUCAGCUGUUGAGAAUGUUAACUGCUCCAGACUUGAGGUGAUCACGGAUCCUCUCCGAAACGAGCUCGUGUCAUGAGGAGAAUAAUGAGCACCAACCAUCACGAGACGGACGACGUGCGUCAGUGGCUCUAAGACACUCAUCAAUCUGCGGAACAGAUGCUGUCCGAAAAAAAAAAAAAAACCUCCACGUGUCAACGCAAUCUGACAAUCUGCCAGAUGAGACGCAGAUCUCAGCCUGUGUGGCAGCAGGGAGUCUUCUCUAAGGAACUACACCCUUGAAGCUAAUACAGUUCAAACAUUGACUUUAGUGAUGAAGACUAACAUAAAACUGUCAUCCGGAGUUCUUCCACGUUUGUGAGUAUUACAACAAGCAAAACAUCCACUUCAAACAGCCACAGGGCCACACAGCUGCCUUCCUGCCCAGCUAUGGCUCCCCCUAGCCGUGCCUCCAUAUUUCCUUGUUAAUGCACACCAUAAUGCACUGACCCUCCCUGCUGUAUCACACAGAAAAGACACCAAGAUACACCUGAAAACCCCAGUUUCUCUAUCUAAAUGUGGACUAUACAGUCUCAAUCUGCCUCUCAGCCAACAUUGGGCACCAUGGGCCUCAGCAGGACUGAGGAUU